UACAGAGGGUGCAAGCGUUAAUCGGAAUUACUGGGCGUAAAGCGCACGUAGGUGGAUAUUUAAGUCGGAAGUGAAAGCCCUGGGCUUAACCUGGGAAUUGCCUCCGAUACUGGCUAUCUAGAGUAUGGUAGAGGAUAGUGGAAUUUCCGGUGUAGCGGUGAAAUGCGUAGAUAUCGGAAGGAACACCAGUGGCGAAAGCGGCUAUCUGGACCAAUACUGACACUUAGGUGCGAAAGCGUGGGGAGCAAACAGG
rnacentral:rRNA from 1 species